rnacentral:piRNA from 2 species
UGCUAUGAUACAGAGACUCGACAGUGGC